UUUCUUCAUCUUUCUCAGCCAGAAACGCCGUAGCUGGUCUCCUAUGCUGGUUUUUUAUAUUUUUGCACCAUGUAAGUUCAAUUUUUACUUUUUCUUAGUAAUUUUUAUGUUUUUGUGACUUUUAUAAUUAGGUCCAAUCAUCUAAUUCAUUAGUUUUUGAUUUGGUGGAUGAAAUUGGAAGUUCCCCUGGCUGAGUAAGGGCAGUUUAUGAUGAAUUAUUAUGAAAUUGAAGUUCUAAUUUCAUAUUAAGGUUGUUUUAUUAAGUCAUUUUGAUAGAAAAUGGUAUUUAGGGCCUAAUUGUGAAAACAAUUGUGAAUUAGAUGUUGGUGUUGAAAUUCAGAAUAUCAAAGGUUGUGAAAUAGUUUAUAAUGAUAAAAUAAAGUGUUAAUUGAGAAAAAUUAGUUCAAUUUAUGGGUGAAUUGAGUAGGGACUAAAUUGUAAAAGCUGUAAAUUUUGGGGUAAAAGUACAAUUUUGAAAUUUAAACAGCAUAAAUUGUGAAGUGAAAUAGAAAUCAAAUAAAUGCUAAUGAGUAGAAAUAAUUUAUAUUAUAGAUCAAGAGAAACGAGAUUCAAGUCGUGAUCGAGGGAAAAAUAAAGUUUACGAGGAAUAAGCUCGAUUGCUAAUAUUUUAUAUCGAGGUAAGUUCAUAUGAUUUUUAAUAAUGCAAUGUGUAAUUUAAUGUCUUGAAAUGAAAAUUUCAUGAAUGAUAUAGUAUAUUAUUGCAUAUAAAAUGUCAUUAAACUGUGAUAAUUGUAAAAUGAUAUUUGAAUAAAAGUACAAAUUAAAUGGAACAACGGACUUGAGUACUUUCAUUCAGUGGCUAAGACGAAUUGACGGAAAAGACCAUGGUUGGACCAUGGUAGCAUGUGAAAUGUGAUUUCCGUAUAAGACCAUAGCUGGGCUAUGGCUUCGGAGAAAUGUGAUAUGUGCUUCCGUAUAAGACCAUAUCCGGGAUAUGGCAUCGGUGUGAUAUGUGCUACUGUAUAAGACCAUAUCUGGGAUAUGGCAUCAGUGUGAUAUAUGAUCCGUGUAAGACCAUGACUGGGCUAUGACCUCGGUAUGUGAUUUGUGACUAUGUGCAAGACCACAGUUUUACUAUGGCAUUGUGAUAAUGAGGUACUCAAUUCCGUAAUCGUUCCCUAAUUUGAUUAUGAACGAAAAUGUAAAAUGGCCCGAAAAGAUUAAGAAUUGGUGAAUACUAUGAAAAUGACACGAUUUGGAAUAAGUUCUUGAUACUUCAUGACAUUGAGAUUAUGGAUCUAUGCUUAUGAAGCAUAAUUAUGUGUUCUUACCAUGAUGGAUGAAAUGAUAUUGUAUGGAUUUAGUGAAUAAUAGUGGUGAAUGAAUAAAUAUGGCCUUGGCAGUUUUGGGUUACUGCAGUAGUGUAUAUUUUGAAAUUCACCAUAAAUUGUGGAAAUUGAGUUAAGGGCUGAAUAAAAUAUGAGAUUAAAGCCUGAUGAGUUUAGUUUCAUAUAGAGGAAACGGUGCAUGCAAUUGGAUUUUAUGUUAUAAGAUAUUUAAAUUGUUGUGAGACAGAUUUUGAAUGAUUCAAGAUCCCCUGUUCUGAUUUUAGAAAAUCAUUAGAAAUUAUAAUAAAAUAAUUAUGAGUUUUAAUUUAUAUAUUUAAAAUCCUUAUCGAGUCUAUUUUCAAGAGGGAUAGACGGGAACAUCAUCCAAGUCCCGAAUUAUGAGAUAAAUAAUUUUUAGUUAAGAGAGAUCAGAACUGUUGGAUAGCGAAACAGGGGAAACUUUAAUGAAUAAACUGUACUAAAUGGCUAAACUAAAAAUUCUGGAAAUUUUAUGGCAGAAAGGUAUAUGAAUCUAGUUUCAAGGAAAAUUAACGGAACUUAAUUUGAAGUUUCGUAGCUCCAAAAAUAAAUUAUUUAGUAAAUGUAUCUCGAUAAAAUAGUUUAAGCUGAGUAUGUAUAAUUGUACAAUUGUGGUGUUUUAUCUUAAAAGCAUGUUGGUAAUUGCUUAUUAAUUUCAUUUGGACUUACUAAGCAUUUAUGCUUACUCCCUCCUUUUCAUUCCUUGUAGUUUUGAUAAGCCAGCUCGGAAAUCGGGAACGGUCGGAGGCCCACUCACACUAUCCGUAUACCAUCUUGGCGUAAUGGCUUGUAUAUUUUGAGUAUGGCAUGUAUAGCAUUAUAAUCAUUUUGUAUAUAUGGUCUUAUGAUAUGGAUAUUGAGUGGUAUGGAAAUGUUUGGUAAUGAUUAGCCAUUGGAAUGGCUAAUCAUGAUCAUAUUUGGUGUUAUAUAUGUAAAUUGCUAGCUAAUCCAUGGAAACCAUGAAAUAGGCAAAAUUUACCAUAAAAUAGAUCCAGACAGCAGCAGUGAUGUGAGUUUGAAAAAUCAUUAAAAAUAGUAGAGAUACAAUUAGAUGAUGAAUAAAAUAUGGAAUUGAAGAAUUAUUAGUCUAUUUUCAUAUGGAUGGAACAAAACAGGUAUAUGAGUUAUAUUUUAUGAGAAGUUUAAAUUUUUGUGAAACAGGGCCAGAGCGAUUUCUGGAUCCCUAUUCUGACUUUGGAAAUUCACCAUAAAUUGUACAAUGAUAAUUAGAAGUUAUGCUUUAUAUGUAUAGAUUCCUUAUUGAGUCUAGUUUUAUUAGACAC
rnacentral:lncRNA from 1 species